UGACAAAGAAGAGAGAAGUCACAUCAAGCGAUAAAUAUUCUCUAAACUCUUCUUUGUAGAUUAUAUUGUUAUAUUUGCUCAUCUAAGAGUUUAAAUCUUCUUCCUUUGUUUAUUAAACUACUUGUAAAGGUUGGUUGGUUAGCCCACAAAACCAAUGGAAUAGGUUGAUUGGUGAACCCGAAAAACCAAUUGUAAAGGUUCGUUGGUGAGCCCGUAAAACCAACAUAGGUUGUUGGUAAGCCCGUAAAACCAACGUAGGUUGUUGGUAAACCCGUAAAACCAAUUGUAUAGGUUCGUUGGUGAGCCCGUAAAACCAACAUAGAUUUUUGGUGAACCCGAAAAACCAAAGUGUAAAGGUUUUUGGAUUGUGAGCCCGGAAAACAAUCCAACUGUAAUCCGCGGGAUUAUAGUGAAUUCCCAAGGGGUCGCUUGGGGAGUGGACGUAGGUGCUAAGGAGAGCACCGAACCACUAUACUUCUUGUUGUUUGUAUUGUGAUUUGUUUAAGUUCACUAACUCAUCAUUUAACACAAGUAAGAUAGUUAAAAUUAAAAGAAACCAAUUCACCCCCCCCCCCCUCUUGGCUUGUCACCUUGGGCAACAAAGGGGUAAGGAUGGAGGCUGAGAAGAUCUCAGAUGCUAGGAGGAAAGUAGGAAUUCAUUGGAUUCGGUCGUGAAAGAAGGGAAUGGAUGCUUAGGCUUUGUUCAUGGGAUACAGGAGAUCCUUGGAACGGUGAGAGUGAUGCUGGAGAAAGCUGAAGUCGGGGAUCCGGUUGGAUGCGGGGUGACGCUAAAUCACGAACGUGAUCCGAAGGGAGGUUGGGAGAUAGGAUAAGGAUGAGGUCACAACGGGAUGAAGCUUGGAGUUGGUUCUAUGAUGAAGAAACGAUGGGAAGAUGACACGGACGGGAGGGGAAGUUUAGAUACUAAUCUAGACUUGGUUCUAGAUGGCUGUCGUGAAUGCAGGGGAGCUGGGAAUUAUCCAUGAAUCACGGACGCUAGGAAGCAAUUUAGGAUUUGGUUGAGACGCAAUCCAUGGAGAUGUGAUGAGCCAUCGACGUGCGUGGAGCAUCUCAUGCGGACGGUUGCGGGAAGGGAGCAGGAGACUGGCUGCGAACGGUGGAUAUGGGAUAAAGGCUAUGGAAGUUUGAAUCAUGGAAUCAGUCCGGAAGAUGGCUGGGACGUGGGAGAUGGCAGAUUACUCUCAUUCGGAAGCAGAGAAUAACUCGGGAUAGGGGAGGAUGGGAGAUGAUAUGCGAACGUGAACUGAGAGGAUCUUGGCUGGGAAGUAAUCCAGAUGAAGACGUGGCUUUGGUUGUUUGGAAUCCUAUGGGGUUCAGAUAAGGAAAUGG
rnacentral:lncRNA from 1 species